GAGCAGGGCCCUCAUCUGGGAUCUCAUCUUCUCUACCUGGGGUCCUUAGUUCCUUGCUUAGAAGAGACCCAGCACCUUUGCUGGAUUGAUGCAGGCCAGUUUCCAGACCUCAAGACGCCAGCAGCUUCAUUUCCUAUCUCUUCGGACCCUUGCUCUGAGGUAUCUGAACCACCAGGUGAGGCAUUCGACUCCUCUGCAGGAGAGAACUCAUGGAGAGACCCUGACUAUGCCUGAAGAGGAAGAAGGGCCCAGUGGGCACAGCUUCCAGAACUUUUCAGAGCCUUCCAGACACCCCUCCUAAGGAAAGGACAUGAGUAAUGCUAUCUUAAACGCCACCCCCGCCCCCCAGAGCAGACCACAGCUUAAACAGCACCUAGUAACACCAGUAGUAGCCAUACAAAGCAGAAAAAUCACCCAAACUCCUGACCAUAAAACUAUGAGAUAUGACAAGUGUUAA